rnacentral:tRNA from 1 species
GCGGAUGUAGCCAAGUGGAUCAGGGCGGUGGAUUG